UUCGUAGGCGGUGUGGCAAGUUGGGAGUGAAAUCCUCUGGGCUCAACCCAGAGGCUGCUUCCAAAACUGCUGUGCUUGAGUGUGAGAGAGGCUCGUGGAAUUGCAGGUGUAGCGGUGAAAUGCGUAGAUAUCUGCAGGAACACCCGUGGCGAAAGCGGCGAGCUGGAUCACUACUGACGCUGAGGAACGAAAGCUAGGGGAGCAAACAGGAUUAGAUACCCUGGUAGUCCUAGCCCUAAACGAUCAGGACUUGGGGUGCCGCCCGUUCGGGCGUCGUCCCGGAGCUAACGCGUUAAGUCCUGCACCUGGGGAGUACGGUCGCAAGACUGAA
rnacentral:rRNA from 1 species